GGGCCUGUAGCUUAGUUGGUAGAGCGCUGCGUUUGCAUCGCAGAGGUCACGGGUUCGAAUCCCGUCGGGUCCACCA
rnacentral:tRNA from 1 species